AAGGGUAGAGUAUGACAUUACAUUUCAGUUACAUUGAAAAGAUCCAUAAUAUAUUGGUACUCUU
rnacentral:tRNA from 1 species